CUAGAAACCGGCUCUGUGAAUCUU
rnacentral:piRNA from 1 species